CCUCUCAUGGCGUAGUGGUAACGCGCCCCAACUAGAGAUCGGGGAGUCGUGAGUUCGAUUUUCACUGAGAAGA
rfam:Aedes aegypti strain Liverpool supercont1.78 genomic scaffold, whole genome shotgun sequence.